rnacentral:lncRNA from 1 species
GCCCAGGGCAGCUAACCCCACAAACCCCCAGGUGGGUCAUGCAGCCACUCAGAGCAAGCCCUGGGGAGGCUGGGCCAGAGGAGAAAAUGGAGGACCACCCUCCCUGGGAGGGGCCCAGGUCAGCCAGGGCUCCCCACCAAAAGAAGGUCAGAGAAAAGGGACUUUAGCAAACAGGAAGAGGCUGCCCUAAGACCCCCGGCUCCCACCUGGAUCCUUGAAGCUCCCUGGUCUCCUUUUGACCCCAGAAUUUGUGACUCCUUUCCAGGAACUAAAUGAAGCCCCCUCAGACGCCUCCAGAUCUCGGGGAGCUGGGGGUGGACACCAGCUCCCGGAGGCAGUGGUAGGUCCCUCCUCACUUGCUGGACUCAGAAUUGCUUUCCCCCCAUCCCCACCUCGCAGCAGCCUGGCGCUGCCUCGAUUCCCUCUCCUGCUUCACCUCACGCACUUCCCUGUGUGUGUACAGGCCAAAGCCAGUGUCUAGGGUGUCCAGAUGCUGGGCUACCUUUUGGGGCCCCCAUGAGCUUAUGGCACUUUGCAGACCAGGUGAGCAUUUGUGAAUUCCAUCUCAGAGCUACGCAGAGAGGUUCUACGACACAUGAGUUCACUGAGACAGGUAAAGGGGUCCAUCCAUAUGGGAUCCUACUGGAAACAUGUCCAGAGACUCCCUGCCCAGACCCUGACUCCCUCCCACAUGCUCCUCCCACAGAGCACAGCUAUGAAUCCAGGCAGCAAUGCCAGCAACCGGGGCAGAGUUCCAAGAGGUGGAGGAGCAGUGGGAAUCCAGGGCCAGGAGAGACAGGCACGUGGCACACCCAGCAGAGAAGGGCCCUGGUCGGCAUUUCCUGACCCCCUGCCCAGCAAGAGAAGACAGCCCCGAGGAACACAUUCCUCCCGGCUGAAGCAGGAGUCCUGCCAGUCACACCUGCAAGCCUGGGGCGGGGGCUUCUCACAGCAACUCCUGCCCUGGAAAGCCCUUUUGUGCCAUGGAUCUGAGACCCUCCCCUAGAGAUAUGGGUGGCACCAAGGUGUGGGGGGUGCCCCAACAAAGGUGGGCCCACAGAAAGAGCCCACAGGCAGACGCUCUCUCCAAGGGCCACCAUGUGACCUGGAAAGCCCCUGACCCCUGAGGAGACGCUAGGGGAACUCCCAGCUCCAGAUCAGCCAGACACAAGACAGAGAGGCCCCAGAGUACAUGCCACUAAAAGCACAGCCCCCUCCCCACAGGUCAGGCCCUGCGUGUGACCUGUGGGUGUCUGCACAUUAAAAUGGGAUGCUCCAGUAGGACUCCGCAUUCUAAGAUUGGAGCCCAACUGUCCCGGACAUGAUUGAAAAAAUGCUCAUUGUACCAUCAACCAGGGACACCACCAAGAGCCUGUCUGCCAACUCCUUCCCACCCUCCAGCUGCCACUGGACUGCCAUCUGUGCAGAGGUCCUCAGCCACCUGUUAAGCUGCUCUCCGGUCUCCAGGUUCACCGGCAUCUUGGCAGGCAUAGCACAGCCCAUGCGGGCUCCUGCUCCUCCAUCUGCUGGUGACGCUCCAUGGCUUGUGGGUUCCAGGAGAGUCAGGACAAGUCUUCUCAGUCACACCAUAACAGUAUUGAAGGACUGCACUUGAAAAAUGCAGGGUAUCCACAAAUAUGUGUCAGAAGCACAAUGGAUAGUUGGAAGCAGGGGUGUGACAUGGCCUGAUUUGCAUGGUUUAAGAUCUCUUAGAGAAAAAGCAAAUCUAGGGAGACAGUGAAAGAUCAGUGGCUACCAGGAGAGGGAGGGCUGGUGCAGCAGAGUCUUGGGUGGAACAAUUUCCUACCAUAGCAUCGCAGGGAAGCAGAUCUAUCUGUAUGCCUUUGUCAGAACCCCUGGGUUGCAGUGCCGAGAGGGAGCCCCGAGCCACCUGCAGGGCUCAGUUAGUAACAAUGUAGCUGUACUGAUUCUUCAUUGUAACAGUGUGCCACACUGAGGCCAGAUGUCAUGGCAAAGGGAAGUGCUCAAGGGAGUAUAUGUGGGGAUUCUCUGUGCUUUCUGCUCAAUUUUUCUGUAAAUCUAAAACAGCUCUGAAAAAAAUAAAAC